AGAUUGAACGCUGGCGGCAUGCCUUACACAUGCAAGUCGAACGGCAGCACGGGAGCAAUCCUGGUGGCGAGUGGCGAACGGGUGAGUAAUACAUCGGAACGUGCCCAAUCGUGGGGGAUAACGCAGCGAAAGCUGUGCUAAUAUCGCAUAAGAUCUACGGAUGAAAGCAGGGAUCGCAAGACCUUGCGCGAAUGGAGCGGCCGAUGGCAGAUUAGGUAGUUGGUGAGGUAAGGCUCACCAAGUCC
rnacentral:rRNA from 1 species